CCUGACUUCUCAAAAUGGUGAUCCUGCUGAUGGUACACGGCCAAGGCGAGCCCAACCUCCUGGUCGUGGGCGAGGAUGGGGAAAACCGCGAUUGGCUGUUGUGCCUUUGUUUUCUGUUUCAUCUGCGGUUGCAAUGUCUGCGUGUAUGCCUGGUUCUCAGGCUGGUGGUGGUCAUUGCCAUCCUGUUCUGCUGGUCCCAGUUCUCUUCGAGCUCCAUCUGAUUCUGCCGAGGCACCAAAUUUGGUUGGAGAAGUGACCAAUUAUUGAUGUCUUCGAUUGUACUGUUGCUGAUUCCCUACUAUUUUAUUGUCAGAAAUGAUGUUUUUGAUCUACAGUACAUAAGCAUGUAGGUUCUGAAUUGUGUAGUACGCUUAUGCUUACAUGGCUUUCUGUCUUUUUGAAUCACUAAUACAUAUCACAUCAUUCUACUGGUGGUAAAUUUGUUAGUAGGUUGUGUAUGUUUGUAAGAUUGGAGAUAGGUCGGUUAUUAGUUGUAGAUGUAGGGAAAUCUCCUAUGGUAGCUUUGUACACAAAACACUCCCAGUUAUUUACAGAUAAAAAAUGUGUUGUAGGUUACUUUUGUUAUUGGUUUAAAGUGUCAUUGUUUUCGACAUAUAUGUUUUAGUUUUUAGAAAGGCAGCCUUGAUUAUGGUCCCUUCUUUUCUAGGGGUUAUUGAAUACAAAACUGCAAUAGGUUUAAAUAUUUAAAAGUGGUUGUAACAGGGAAAUUCCACUGCCUAAAAAAGGGAUUAACAUUGAUGCAUAUUAUAUAGUUAUUUUCUCUAAUACAUCUUUGUGACUUUCCUGAAUUUAUGUACUAUAUGUCAACUCUGUCUGCUAAGACCUGGGGGUGCAGACCAAAACACACACCUUUUGAGCUGAUUUUGUUGCAAUCUGUAACUUGAUUUACACAUGCUAGCAUAUUGUAAUCAUACUGUAAAGUAUAACAGGUUUUAUUUAUUUUUGCACACCUAAAUAUUCUUUUUCUGGGCCUGAAUGCAGGUGGAGAAAUUGCAAGGAAGAAACAGAAGGUGCAGGACCUCCCAACAGAGUAAGCAAGAACAGAAAUCAGCGAAAACGCGAAGAGGUGGAGUUGAGCUGCAAUGGUCCCAUACCUUACACUUGCUAGAUGAUCACCAGAGCAAGAUGGUUCUCUGUAAAUUCCAUGCAGGUAGUUUCUGUACUUGACAUAAACAUUAUAUUUUGAAAAAUUGCGAGUGCUUAUUAGAUGCCUGCUAUACGUUGUUGUGAUUCAUUCUAAUCUUUCUCAGUACUAUGCUGAACCUGAACAGUUGGUGGAAUGUGUACCAUAGGCGGCUGAGGUUGUAUCCAAGGCUGUCAGUUGUGUGCCAAUUUUGAUACAUAGAAAUCUUCGAACUCCAACUCUAACCACAAAGUUAGCUACUAAGUUGUGUACUUCAGAUUCACGUCAAUCAUUUAUCUCCAGAGUUGAGAUCUGUUUAAUUUGGUCUGUUCACACCGUGUGCUAUUUCGUGUUAUUUGUUUCUACGUACGGCUUCUCCCUAAAUAUUUUCAUUCGCUAAUCAUUCAAGCGGCUCUAGAAGGGUACAUAUAUGAGAUGUGUGUCCAAAUCAUUGACUUCAGUAAUUAAAUGAUACACCUGGUUUGUUUUACAACACCAUCAUAUUCUGACGAAGUAUCAACCUUCUACAAGACGCAAACAAUGGUAAUGCUUAUUUGAAUAAUUUCUCCCCAUAACAAAUGUUAUUUUGGCAAUAUUAAGGAAGCCAGUAGCAAAUAUGGUUGAUUUUUCCUUGAAGAAAGUGUGGCAGCUGCUAUAAAUAGAUACUUAGUACCCAGCAUGAUAUUUAACUUAAUGAUUUCUUAGGGGGCUACUUAAUCCCGUGGAUUAUCCCUGAAACAGAGAAUGUGUACUGUUUUUGUUUAUCAUUUUGUACUGCGCAACAGAACAUUACCAUGCGUAAAUUUUUAGAUAUCAUGUACACUUCGUUUUUCCCAUUACUGGCCGAAGUUUGCAGCAUAGCCUGCAACUAUUAUUGUGUACAUCUUUUCCUUGGCAUAGAUAUGAAGCAUUCCAAAUCAAUAUCUGGACUGAAAUCACAUUGUCAACGUUCAUUUCUUUGUGUACGCCUCAUCACGAAGCGAUGGACUAGCGAUCGUGCGUGAGAGGUACAGAGAGACACACCAAAGUAACAUCUAGGGGAGAAAGACCUCAUUGCAUCUGAUGGUUUCCUGCAAAUGACAGAAUGUUGCCGUGUAGAAAUAUUGCGAAUCAGUUGCAGAAAACUGGUCUCAAACUAUUGUAUGCAACCAGGUAGAAGGAUGAAGGCAGCAGCUCAAUCUCCAAGCCUUGAUUUGGUCUCAGAAGCCUGUUGUCAUGAUCAGGUCAACUGACUCGCGCCUUCCAAAAGAUCACCAUUGGAAUCAGGUGGAGGAGGCCACAUGUGGACAGUGAAUUGUACAAGGGGAAAUGAAUCCUUGCUGGCGCUUGGGCAAUCUGGCUGCCAUACCCCGUUCAUGCCGCAUCAAUUCAAGCAGCUUCCAAUCAUAUUACUAAGAGCGUGCAAGCCAUUGUAACAACCAAGUUUGUAACACCAUGUAACCUGCUCAUAAUAGUGCUAAGAGCGUGCAAGCCAUCAUAACAGUGCGUUUUAAAACGGUUGGUAAUGAAUAUUUGUAAGCUGCUCCUCUCUGAAUGGGCAGUUGGUAAAAUUCUAUUAUCCAAUUGUUAAUAUGUCUGAUUUU